rnacentral:sRNA from 1 species
CGAGCACGGUCCGCCGAGAAUGGGCCUUU